rnacentral:lncRNA from 1 species
UUUUUUUUUUUUUGAUGGAGUCUUGCUCUGUCGCCCAGGCUGGAGUGCAGUGCCGUGAUCUCAGCUCACUGGAAGCUCUGCUUCCCGGGUUGAAACAUUUCUCCUGCCUUAGCCUCCUGAGUAGCUGGGAUUACAGGCUCCUGCCACCACGCCCGGCUAAUUUUUUGUAUUUUUAGUAGAGAUGGGGUUUCACCAUGUUGGUAAGGCUGGUCUUGAACUCCUGACCUCGUGAUCUGCCCGCCUCAGCCUCCCAAAGUGCUCGGAUUACAGGCAUGAGCUUUUUGGCCUCUUAAGCACAUAGAACUAGAAAAUUACACAGGAGUAUGCACAUGUACACACACAGGUACCCAAACACACUUGCCUCCACGCGCACACAUACAUACACAGGUUCAUGAGCGUGCACUCACGCCUCCACACAUGCAGGUACACGAGCGCACACGCACGCCUUCAUGCACACACACAGAGGUACAUGAGGACGCACACAUUCCUCUAUGCACACGCAGGUAGGUACAUGAGCGCACACACACGCCUCCACACACACGCAGGUAGGUACAUGAGCUCACAUGCAUGCCUCCACGCACAUGCACAUAGGUACACAAGUGCGUGCACGCCUCCACGCACACACACAUGCAGGUAGGUACAUGAGCUCGCACACAUGCCUCCACGCACACGCACAUAAGUACACGAGCACACACACACGCCUCGCGCACAUGCACAUAGGUACACAAGCACACAUGCAUGCCUCUAUGUACCUGCAGGUAGGUACAUGAGUGCGCACACACGCCUACACAGGUAGUUACAGGACCUCACACGCAUGCCUCCAUGCACAUGCACAUAAGUACACAAGCACGCGCACAUGCCUCCACGCACACGCACAUAGGUAGACAAUCACGCACACAUGCCUCCACACACACGCACAUGCAGGUAGGUACACGAGCGCACACGCACACCUCCAUGCACACACACGCAGGUAAGUACAUGAGCUCGCACGGACGCCUCCACACACACACAGGUAGGUACACAAGCAUACAUGCUUCCAUGCACACAGGUACAGGAGCACGCAUACAUACCACAGACACGCAGAUAGGUACAGGAGCUUGCAUGCAUGCCUCCACACACGCACAUAGGUACACGAGCGCACACACGCGUCCACGCACACGCAGGUAGGUACAUGAGCUUACAUGCAUGCCUCCACGCACACACAUGCAGGUAGGUACACGAGCAUGCACGCACGCCUCCAUGCACACACACACAGGUACAGGAGCACACAUGCACCUCCACGCACACGCAGGUAGGUACAUGAGCUUGCACGCACGCCUCCACGCACAAGCACAUAGGUACACGAGUGCACACGCACGCCUCCACACACGCAGGUAGGUACAUGAGCUCGCAUGCACGCCUCCAUGCACAGGCACACUCAGGUACACGAGCGUGCAUGCAUGCCUCCACACAUACAUGUACAGGAGCGUGCACACACACCACGCAGACACACAGGUACACGAGCUCGCACACACGCCUCCACGCACACGGAUACACGAGCAUGCAUGCACGCCUCCACUCACACGCAGGUAGUUACAUGA